UCCAGUUUAUAUUACAGUUCAAUGGUGUCCCCACAGUACCCAUGAGCCCACGCGGCCAACUCAAUAGAAAUCCUCACUUCUUGACUUCUUCACUCGUUAUUGUGUUCUUAUUUCGUUGGAACUGGCAGAGUUGGCGAAUAUUUUCAUUUUAUAGUCGAAAUGACCGCGUUUUUACCGUCAAAUCUUUUGGCAUUAUUUGCUGCUAGACCUCCCAUACCAUAUCUUCCGCCUCUGGAUAAACUAGGUCAUCAGAAAAAGCCUUGGCCGUACAGUGGAAUUGCGAGUAUCGUUGCUGACUUCGAGGAUCCUGAAGAUACACCUCCAACUCGUGCAGAAACUAGAGGUGUAAAAAUAGAAAGAAAGAAAUGUGAAAGAAUUGACAAAAACAAAGAGGAUUUGGAGAAAGCUGCAGAAGAAUGGGAUCCUCACACUGAUCCAAAUGCUGUCACAGAGGCAUUUAAAACUUUAUUUAUUGCCAGACUGAAUUACGAUACAUCUGAAAGGAAAAUACGGAGAGAGAUGGAAGUUUAUGGUCCUGUAAAAUCGAUUCAAAUGGUGACCAAUUCUACAACAGGAACACCUCGUGGUUAUUGUUUUGUCGAGUUUGAACAUGAAAAGGACAUGCAUAUGCAAAUACUGUCGAUAUUGCCAAGUGAAUGGCAACAGACGAUUGCUCGCUCCUAUGCCAUGGCUAACACUACUUGAUCAUUUAAAAUGUUUCAUUUUAACUGCCGCUUAUAAACAUGCUGACGGUAAGAAGAAUAACAGUGAAGAACUGGAAACGUCGACGUUUAGGUGGAGGGCAAGGUGGCACACGAAAUGGUGCUCCUGAAGCAAACAUAAAGCAUUCUGGCCGCGUCGAAAAUUUUGACAGGGAUCGCGAGCGAGAUGAACGUGAUCGUGGUGGUGAAUAUCGUGACCGUUCAAGGCGUUAACGAGACCGUGGCCGUGAUAGAGAUCGCGAUAGACAUGAUCGUCGCCGAGAAAGGGAUUGUGAUGGUCGGGAUCGCGGGGGUCGGAUGACGUCGAAUCUUUAUUUACCAACGUGCCUUUGAACAGAGCAAUAAAAAUAAUUUUGGAAAGAAAUUUUUGAGAAAAUCAAAUUUUAACUAAACUUGAGAAAAGAACUCUUAAAAAAGUUAUUAUUGACUGUUGCAUUAAAAGCGCUUUUUCUUUCGACAAUGAAAUUUUUUAAACAAA